rnacentral:tRNA from 1 species
GGGAUCAUAGUUCAAUGGUUAGAGCACCGCCCUGUCACGGCGGAAGUUGCGGGUUCGAAUCCCGUUGAUCUCG